CAGUAGCCGCGGGAAUACAGAGGGUGCGAGCGUUAAUCGGAUUUACUGGGCGUAAAGCGUGCGUAGGCGGCUUUUUAAGUCGGAUGUGAAAUCCCUGAGCUUAACUUAGGAAUUGCAUUCGAUACUGGGAAGCUAGAGUAUGGGAGAGGAUGGUAGAAUUCCAGGUGUAGCGAUGAAAUGCGUAGAGAUCUGGAGGAAUACCGAUGGCGAAGGCAGCCAUCUGGCCUAAUACUGACGCUGAGGUACGAAAGCAUGGGGAGCAAACAGGAUUAGAUACCCCUGUAGUCCCUGUCUCUUAUAC
rnacentral:rRNA from 1 species